UUUAAAACGAUAAGUGCCUAGGGGACAG
rnacentral:sRNA from 1 species